rnacentral:rRNA from 1 species
GACGAACGCUGGCGGCGUGCUUAACACAUGCAAGUCGAACGGAAAGGCCCUGCUUUUGUGGGGUGCUCGAGUGGCGAACGGGUGAGUAACACGUGAGUAACCUGCCCUUGACUUUGGGAUAACUUCAGGAAACUGGGGCUAAUACCGGAUAGGAGCUCCUGCUGCAUGGUGGGGGUUGGAAAGUUUCGGCGGUUGGGGAUGGACUCGCGGCCUAUCAGCUUGUUGGUGGGGUAGUGGCUUACCAAGGCUUUGACGGGUAGCCGGCCUGAGAGGGUGACCGGCCACAUUGGGACUGAGAUACGGCCCAGACUCCUACGGGAGGCAGCAGUGGGGAAUAUUGCACAAUGGGCGGAAGCCUGAUGCAGCAACGCCGCGUGCGGGAUGUCGGCCUUCGGGUUGUAAACCGCUUUCGCCUGUGACGAAGCGUGAGUGACGGUAAUGGGUGAAGAAGCACCGGCUAACUACGUG